rnacentral:lncRNA from 1 species
UUGGCGGAUCCAGCGUGGUAGAGGCGACGUUGACUGGCGCCGAUGAAGUAGACGGGUAGCUAAGUGUAGGUGAAGAUUGUAGUGAAAUCCAGAGUUGAGAGGUCGUGGUUCAGGUCGGCUUCAAGCCGCCUUAAAUAGGGCUCAGCCCUGUAUUGCUGUCAAGCGGACCGUUUAUCAACCGUUGGUCUGUCAAACUCGGACAGGCCGAAGUCCCUUCAUCGUUCACGAUCGGUUAGUUUCUGACAGCCGUCUUGGCCGAGUCCUUCUUGGACGUGGUUACUCGCGUUCGUACGCGGUACCACAACAUUGCCUCCCCCUUUAGGGCUUGACGUCCGCGCAAGUCCGUUGUCGUACUGACUCCAGCUCUGCUGUCAUAUCGGGAGUGAAAUGAUCCGCUGGUUCCCAGCUGUUGUGCUCGUCGGUAUAUCCUUGCCACCGUACGAGGUAUUCCUCCACGUACGUCCGUUUUCCGACUUUGCGUNNNNNNNNNNNNNNNNNNNNNNNNNNNNNNNNNNNNNNNNNNNNNNNNNNAGAUUGUAGUGAAAUCCAGAGUUGAGAGGUCGUCGUUCAGGUCGGCUUCAAGCCGCCUUAAAUAGGGCUCAGCCCUGUAUUGCUGUCAAGCGGACCGGUUAUCAACCGUUGGUCUGUCAAACUCGGACAGGCCGAAGUCCCUUCAUCGUUCACGAUCGGUUAGUUUCUAACAGCCAUCUUGGCCGAGUCCUUCUUGGACGUGGUUACUCGCGUUCGUACGUGGUACCACACCGUUGCGGAGGUGGACGCACCGGAUGGCAGCGCGUGGGAAAGCGGGGCCGCCCCGUCGAUGACGACGAGUACGCGGAUAGGCUAGGCCCGGGUGGGAUGCAAAUCACAAAAGCGAUGCUGAAGCGUCGCCGGAAGGAGCAGAGGUGCUGGUGGUGUAACUCGGAGCAGCACUGGUCGGAGGAGUGCCCCCUGUGGCACGUCAACAACGGCGCCGGCGGUUCGGGCGCCGGGGCGGGAACCAAGGCGACCGCCUAGGAUGUUGCCCUAGAUGACGACUCAGCCCGCCGGCAGUCUAGGGAGAAGUCGGUAAACGUUUUUCGUGGUUUUAGGGUUUUGGGUUUUCGUAGCCGAUGAGUUGGCUACCCUGGCUACCCUGGACACGCAUCGGUAGGCCUUUCACCUUUGAUGCCCCGCCCGCUUGGACCCGCACCGCGGCCGGUGCCGCCUGCGCCACGGCCAGCAUUCGGAGCGUACCCGCCCCGACCGCGUCCAACCGCAGCGGCGUAGUUCAUGGGUGGAGCCUCUGGCUCCUGGUUGGCAGGAACGGGGAUAGCUGCGUUAGACUUUACGGCAUUCCGCCCGGAUGCGUUCUCGAGCAGCUGCUGGCGCUCCGCGCCAAGUGCAUGAGCAAGGAGCUGAGCAUAAGUCGUAUGCGGCUCCAAGGUUACCGGGUUGCAAGCAACUGCCUUGCGCAACGCGGGUAACAAUGCCAUGCAGAAGUGGAAACAUUUUGUGCUUUCGGGCAUAUCGGGCAGGUCCUGAACCAAGGACUGGUAUCGGCUCGCAAACGUGGCUACCGCCUCGUUGGGGCCUUGCUUGAACUGCCCGCUGGACAAUUGCUGUUGCGCUAGGUCCGCACGGGACUGUACCUCCGGGGCAAAGCGAGCAAGCAAUGCCAAGAACAACCCCUCUACUGUGUAGUUGGGGUUCGCGCGUGUCCAGACGACAUGCCAUGUCUUAGCUUCCGCUUCCAAAGCUCCGCUAAGGAACAGCUUUUGCAAGUUCGGAUUGUUCACCCAGCCAGCGGCUGCGAAGUAAAUGCGUGUGUCAGCAAUAAACGCAUGAACACGUUCCGCGUCAACUGGCUUCCCUACAGCAACGUGUAGUUUUGGUACCGGUAUCAUUGGUCGGAAACCACUGACCGCUGGGUCGACGGGUGCUCCAGCCGCUCCACCGGGAAUGGCGUCCACCGCCAUGGGUACUGGGCCGGGUGCCGCGACGGCGGGUACUGCAGGCGGUGCGAUCGGCGGAGCGGGGGCGGGUUGCCCCACCGGCGGCGCGCCGGCAGGCUGCACCGCGGGUUGACCCGCUGCCGCAGGUGCGCCUGCGGCCUGCUGCUGGGCUACGACGGCCGCGCAGAACUGCAGGAACGCGAGCAUGUUUGCCUGCUGCUGCGCCGGGUCCAUGGGUGGUGCGGCUGCGACAGCAGCCGGUGCAGGGCCAGCUGCCGCCGGCAGCAUCAUGGGACCGGCUGCGGCCGCUGGUGGCUGGGGCGGAGCAGCGCCCCCAGCCCCUGCCGGGGCAGCUGCGGCUGCUGGUGCCGGCGGUGGUGCUGCGGCCGCAACGCCAGCCCCGGCCGGGGCAGCGGCAGCUGCGGGUGGGGCUCCUGCCCCGAGCAUAGGGGCAGCAGCCCCAGCAGCAUUAGCUGCGCCACCGGCGGGUGGUUGCGCUCCUACAAAGAGAGGCGGAGCCGGAGGAAGGUAUCCCGCACCAGCGAGAGGCAUAGCAAGGGGCGCAUUGAGGCCUGGGGCAGGAGGCGCGCCCGCUGCGUACUGCAUCAGCAUGUUUUGCCAACCCGGCGGUGCGUUGCCUAACGGUGGAGGUUGCGCCAUCAGGGUAACUCUAGCGUGGCCGACAAGUCACGCGCUUCCCACUCUCACCAGAGUUGGUAUCCGAGUCCGUGAGACCUGACGAGGCCGUGUGCGACUCGUCGCUCACGUCAGGCCUGCGAAAGGUCCCGUACUGCAGCUCCAAGAUGCCCGGAGCGCGAGCCUGAAGCGCCGCUAGGCUGAUGUAUCCUAGGGGGUGGCUCUAAGGACUGCGCGGGGGGCCUCGGGUCUCGAUACCACUUGUAGUGGUAUCUACCCUUGGCGGAUCCAGCGUGGUAGAGGCGACAUUGACUGGCGCCGAUGAAGUAGACGGGUAGCUAAGUGUAGGUGAAGAUUGUAGUGAAAUCCAGAGUUUAGACGUCGUGGUUCAGGUCGGCUUCAAGCCGCCUUAAAUAGGGCUCAGCCCUGUAUUGCUGUCAAGCGGACCGGUUAUCAACCGUUGGUCUGUCAAACUCGGACAGGCCGAAGUCCCUUCAUCGUUCACGAUCGGUUAGUUUCUGACAGCCGUCUUGGCCGAGUCCUUCUUGGACGUG